UACAUGGGGUGCAAACGUUGCUCGGAAUUAUUGGGCGUAAAGCGCACGUAGGCGGUUACUCAAGUCGGAUGUGAAAGCCCUCGGCUUAACUGAGGAAGUGCACCCGAAACUGAGUAGCUAGAGUACUAAAGAGGGUCGCGGAAUUCCCGGUGUAGAGGUGAAAUUCGUAGAUAUCGGGAGGAACACCGGUGGCGAAGGCGGCGACCUGGGUAGAUACUGACGCUGAGGCGCGAAAGCGUGGGGAGCAAACAGG
rnacentral:rRNA from 1 species